rnacentral:lncRNA from 10 species
UGGGCUCCUGAUCCCAGCCUCCCUGAUGCCCUCCUGAUGGACGCUAAACAGGCCCAGGGCUUAGUUGACAGGCUGCCAGCCACCAUGUGCCUGGCACGGGAGUGAGCUGCUGGCACAGACUGUGCCGAGGCCUCCCAACUCCAGCUGCCUCACAGCCCUACACAUCCAAGGCUUGCUUUAAAUCUCCUAAGUCCUGAAGAAAAUGAAGACAGAAAGAACAGCACCUACUUUCAAGGAAAAGGAGGCCACGCCCCUCAGCGGCUUCAGGAGCCCAGACCUUUGGGGGCCCACCUUCCGCAGCUUUCCAUUGGCCCCACGGUGGAAGCCCGUAGGUUCAGGCCCUCCGAACACAGCUCGCUUUCCACACCAGCGGGGCCGUACCAGAGCAAGACCAUGUCUCACAAAAUAAUAAUAAUACUUAAAAAAUGAUAAAGAAAGAUUGUCACUAGGCAAAUGUCCAAAAAGCUUCUCAGCCGAAAGCUGGAUUAUUCAACAGUCCCUGAAACAAAUAUACACAGAGGACAAGUGAUUUUUUUAAAAAGGGAAACAAGCCUGGCAUGGUGGUCCAUGUGUGUAAUCCCAGCACUUUGG